UGCCUAAGGUCUAGUAUUACCCUUAGGUAACCUCUGUAUUUUGUAGCA
rnacentral:ncRNA from 1 species